rnacentral:rRNA from 1 species
GUGGGGAAUCUUGCGCAAUGGGCGAAUGCCUGACGCAGCGACGCCGCGUGUGGGAUGAAGGCCUUCGGGUUGUAAACCACUGUCGGGGGGGACGAAGGCCCGGCGGGUAACUCCGACCGGGAUUGACGGUACCCUCAAAGGAAGCACCGGCUAACUCCGUGCCAGCAGCCGCGGUAAUACGGAGGGUGCAAGCGUUGUCCGGAAUCACUGGGCGUAAAGGGCGCGUAGGCGGCUGGGUAAGUCACGUGUGAAACUUCGGGGCUCAACCCCGGAACGGCAUGUGGGACUGCCCGGCUGGAGCACGGUAGAGGCGAGUGGAAUUCCAGGUGUAGCGGUGGAAUGCGUAGAUAUCUGGAAGAACACCGGAGGCGAAGGCGGCUCGCUGGGCCGUUGCUGACGCUGAGGCGCGAAAGCGUGGGGAGCAAACAGGAUUAGAAACCCUAGUAGUCC